GAUAAACGCUAGCGGGAGGCCUAACGCAUGCAAGCCGAGCGGUAUUUGUUCUUCGGAACAGAGAGAGCGGCGCACGGGUGCGGAACACGUGUGCAACCUGCCUUUAUCUGGGGGAUAGCCUUUCGAAAGGAAGAUUAAUACCCCAUAAUAUAUUGAGUGGCAUCACUUGAUAUUGAAAACUCCGGUGGAUAGAGAUGGGCACGCGCAAGAUUAGAUAGUUGGUGAGGUAACGGCUCACCAAGUCAAUGAUCUUUAGGGGGCCUGAGAGGGUGAUCCCCCACACUGGUACUGAGACACGGACCAGACUCCUACGGGAGGCAGCAGUGAGGAAUAUUGGACAAUGGGUUAGCGCCUGAUCCAGCCAUCCCGCGUGAAGGACGACGGCCCUAUGGGUUGUAAACUUCUUUUGUAUAGGGAUAAACCUACUCUCGUGAGAGUAGCUGAAGGUACUAUACGAAUAAGCACCGGCUAACUCCGUG
rnacentral:rRNA from 1 species